ACGGGUGAGUAACGCGUGGGAACGUACCCUUUACUACGGAAUAACGCAGGGAAACUUGUGCUAAUACCGUAUGUGCCCUUUGGGGGAAAGAUUUAUCGGUAAAGGAUCGGCCCGCGUUGGAUUAGCUAGUUGGUGGGGUAAAGGCCUACCAAGGCGACGAUCCAUAGCUGGUCUGAGAGGAUGAUCAGCCACAUUGGGACUGAGACACGGCCCAAACUCCUACGGGAGGCAGCAGUGGGGAAUAUUGGACAAUGGGCGCAAGCCUGAUCCAGCCAUGCCGCGUGAGUGAUGAAGGCCCUAGGGUUGUAAAGCUCUUUCACCGGAGAAGAUAAUGACGGUAUCCGGAGAAGAAGCCCCGGCUAACUUCGUGCCAGCAGCCGCGGUAAUACGAAGGGGGCUAGCGUUGUUCGGAAUUACUGGGCGUAAAGCGCACGUAGGCGGAUCGAUCAGUAAGGGGUGAAAUCCCAGGGCUCAACCCUGGAACUGCCUUUGAUACUGUCGAUCUGGAGUAUGGAAGAGGUGAGUGGAAUUCCGAGUGUAGAGGUGAAAUUCGUAGA
rnacentral:rRNA from 1 species